CGGAAGGCUGACUGCAAAAUGGAGUCUUCCAGAUCUACGAUCAACAAGGACUCAUUCCGAGAAGGUCUUAUCUAGAACCUAGUAUGAAGCAAUCGAAGGGGAAUGCUCAGGUUGGACCCAAGAGGCCUGCAUUCUGACUUGGGCUCCCAGAUUCCUUGGGAGGAGCCCUGGGAUAUCUCCUCGGAACUUCAAGGCUCCACCAAUCCCAAUUUGAAAACAACUGGACUCAUGAUCCCACCAGCUCAGGAGCCUCUGAACCUGGCAAUCAAACCACGUUUUAAUGUGCUAUCACAUCAUCAGCAAAUGGUCAAGCCAGCUGGUUAUCAAUAAAAAUUCAGCCAACUUCUUUUGUCCCUGACAAUGAUGUCAUCCCUUCUUGGGACACUGAAAUGCUGUAUCAAUGCUGAAGCCAGGAGGAACAGCGUUGUAGCAGUAAAUGCACAAGAGAACCUGGUGGUCUAUGUGGAAUAUUAAAAGGCAGACGUACGGUCUUCAGUUUUAGUUGUGCCUGUCCUCUGGGGUGAAGCUCAUACCUGGUUCACUGUAGGGUCCUCACCGGUGCCCCUGACUGCCCGCUUCCACACUAGAUGCAGGCACUGGGUGGGACUUGCCCACCAGGUGCAGAUCACGGAGUCAAGGGGAGACUCAGUUUACAGCACUGAGCGGUGAAGCUGGGGAGAAAACACCAAGCAGACAACUGAGCCCAGUUAUUCAGAUGGUGAGAAGUAAAAACUAAGUACAAGAAAAAAGGUAGACUGGAAGAUUAGGACAGAACCGACAGGCUUAGAAGGAAAGGUGAGAGAGCACAGAGUGGCUGGAAGAUGGGGACUUUUGUGGCACACCUGUGACUGCUAUUGUAAUGGCUGCAAUUUAUUGUGACUCUAAGAUGUGCUGGAACUUUGUUAUGAAUUUACAUAUGCUGUUCUUAAUUCUCAUAGCAACCUUGGUAGAAUGCCAUUAUUAUCCCCAUUUUAUCAAUAUAGAAAUGGUCACUUAAUAAAGAUUCAUGCACCCCUCACAUCUUUGGUGGCAAAGCGCGGACUGUGAGGCUGCAGCCCAGCACGUCUCGUUCCA
rnacentral:lncRNA from 1 species